GAAUGUGAGGGUGAUCUGGCUGCGACUUCUGUCACCCCAUUGAUCCCCGGGGUUGAUUCGGCGGAUCUGGCUGGCUAGGCAGUUGUUCUCUUCCUCUCUCACCACUCCAUGUGCGUCCCUCCUGAAGCUGCAUGCUUGGUCAAAGAGGACAACCAUCUCCGCUAGAGGAGGACUGUUAUUUGGUCAAGGGUAUAUGAGAGGCUGUGCUCCCCUGCUAGCAUGUCUGAAAUCUGGACGCAUCUUACAAUCAAUGGCAUCCACUUUUAACUGGCAACAUUUUUUCUUUCCGAGUAGUAGGUAACUAAUAAUGUACCUUACAAUUGAUGGCAUCAGAUU
rnacentral:snRNA from 1 species